GCGAAAAUGGCGGUACCACGUGAGUGGGUGUAGGCGUUGUCAUCAGGUUUAAGCUCUUUCGAAGGUAGGAAAGGAAAAUGACCGUAGGCUGAGGGGCAAGAGUCACAUGACUAUCUAACUAUCUACUACUUGUAAUAUGCUGACGACUUGGAGAAAGUGAGGACUGCAGCUGCUGGAGAUAUGCUGACUACUGUGCUGUUUUGGGCCCGGUUUCAAGAAUGAUGAAGUGGACCUUUAAGCAGUUUUUAUCCUUGCAGCCAAUUUUCUUCUAUUGUCAAAUUCCAAGAAGGACCAGAAUGCAGAAGAGUUAAACAGCAGGACCUUUAUUGAAGAGGCAUUCACUCUGCAGCUAUUUCCUGCUCAAAAUGGCUAACAUCGUUAUAAUGUCACAGGAUUAGUGUUUUAAAGUGACAGUUCAUCAUAUACAAAUACACAGCAGAGUUUUCAGAGUCACUGCUGUGGUAGGGAUGUUCAGUUUGGUUACUGCAGGGUGGUAGGGGUAUCAUCAACAUAGAAAAUAGGAGUGUGAGUAGAUCAUUUGGUUCUUUGAACCUGGUAUACAAUUCAAAAUGAUUCUGGCUAAUCAACCAACUCAGUACCCUGUUCCCACUAUCUUCCUAAUCCCUUGAGUAUAUACUGUGUAAAAGUCAAUUUUUUUUAGACUAUUUUUAAAGGUUCAGUUUUACAGGGUCGACUAAUGCAUAGGUACUAGUUUUCAGGGCUGAAAUUCAUGCUGCAGUUCAAAAUACCAUAUUAUUAGCAGAAGUCAAAUUGAUCUCGCAGCUAAUCCUGGGUAAAGAAGAAAAAUACAAUGGAUUACGGUAAAGGUAAUUACCCGAUAAAAGCAAGAAUGAAUUGCUGGUAGUAAAUUUUAUUUGUACAUACCAGUACGAAAAUUUAGCAUGUCAAAGAUUCAUUGAAAUCCUGCAAAAUCACACUACUCAACAUCGUCAUGGCCUUGUAUAAUGGCACACUUAAAAUUAAGCAUUUAUUAAAUUCUGAAUGUGUGCACAUCAUGAACCUUCCCGCAAAUUCUUCAAUUCCCCUCCCAUUUACUCUCAUAUGUUAUCAACCUCAGCAACAUUAACAAAUUUGUCAAAUAAUUAAAGAUAAAUGUAGCUAAUAUAGCUUUUUUUUAUUCAGAUAUAAUGACA